rnacentral:lncRNA from 1 species
AUAAUUCUUUUGGGCUUUAGGCCCAACUGGAACCGGGUUGUAAUGGAAGCCAAUAGAUAAAUUCCAGUGCCAUAAACCGAGUCCACUACUUAAAUGAGCAACAAGUGAACGUGCCUCUGCAACUAUUUCGUAUCUCCGGCGUCGCAUCUACGUUUCAAGCUCCGAAUCCACACGCAGCGAACCAUACGACGGAUAACGAUCAUCAAAUCACGUUUCAAAUUCUCCAUCACCAACUCAAUUUAAGACUGUGACCACACAUACGUGAAAACAGAAAAAAUGGCAUUGAAAAUGGAUUGAAGAACUCACCGGAUCGAAAUCCCGAUGUAGUGGCUCGACGGAAAUAACGUCGACAAAUAGAGCUCAGAUCUUUCUUCCUCUUCUUCGCGUAAGUGCUUUCUUCUUCCUCUUUCCCUCCGUUGUAGAUCAUGGUGUGAUGUUGGCUCUUCCUCUGUGUUGUGAUUGUUGUAUGCGUGUGCAUGUGUUUGUUUGUGAUGAGUGAUCGAUUGAGGGGGAAGUGGGAGUGAAUUUGAAGUGUGUGAUUGAUAGUAAAAAAUGAGAGAGAUCGAGAAAUUCAGAGUGAACGUUUCUGUGAGAAACUGGAUUUUAGAAUGAGAAAAUGAAAGCCUCCUAGAAACUGCAGUGAAGUAUGGUUAAAUACCAACUUGAUUUAACAGAGUGCAAACUCUAUUAGAUCCCAGAAUCUGUAAUCAGUUAUUCGUUAAAUAAAACUGUUAGAGUUAGCUUCGAUCCUCUGCAUUGUUCUGUUAGACUACAGUGGACCUCAGUUUGUGUUGCUAAAUGAAUUACAUGAUUCGGUUAGUUGUUUGGUGGUUUGUAAUUUUGAUGUGAUGAUGCUUAGCUCAUGAUUUGAAAUGUUUGGCAUUGAUUCUGCAGGUUCUGUAAAGGCAUAUGGAGUCAAGGCAAGAUGGUGGUAAGAUUGAAGCAUAGUGAGGCUGGACUCUAAAGGGAAUAUAUCUUAGGGAAAGGUUUUGACUUUGGUCAACGUGUAGGUUUAAAGGAAUAUUGUGUAAUUUUCUUGAUGAUUGUAUAUGAAUGUAAUAGACUUGAAACAUGUAAUGAGAGGGUCUCUUUUGAAAAAUGUUUGAAAUUGAAUUGGUAUUAAAAGUUAGAAUUGAAUUGUUAAUUCAAAGUUAAUGGAUUUGAAUGCUUAGUUUAAAAUGGAAUUUAAAUGUUAGUAAAAGUUUGAAAUGGAUUUAUCUUUAAAAGGUUUUGAAAUGUU